rnacentral:rRNA from 1 species
ACUGGCAGCUAGCUCGAUGCAACUCUCACAUCGUUGUCCACUAAUGCUAAGCAGGGCUGCGCCCGGUAAGUACCUGGAUGGGAGACCACAUGGGAAAGCUAGGUUGCUGCCGGAA